rnacentral:rRNA from 1 species
AUUGAACGCUGGCGGCAUGCCUAACACAUGCAAGUCGAGCGGAUGAAGGGAGCUUGCUCCUGGAUUCAGCGGCGGACGGGUGAGUAAUGCCUAGGAAUCUGCCUGGUAGUGGGGGAUAACGUCCGGAAACGGGCGCUAAUACCGCAUACGUCCAGAUGUAGAAAGUGGGGGAUCUUCGGACCUCACGCUAUCAGAUGAGCCUAGGUCGGAUUAGCUAGUUGGUGGGGUAAAGGCCUACCAAGGCGACGAUCCGUAACUGGUCUGAGAGGAUGAUCAGUCACACUGGAACUGAGACACGGUCCAGACUCCUACGGGAGGCAGCAGUGGGGAAUAUUGGACAAUGGGCGAAAGCCUGAUCCAGCCAUGCCGCGUGUGUGAAGAAGGUCUUCGGAUUGUAAAGCACUUUAAGUUGGGAGGAAGGGCAGUAAGUUAAUACCUUGCUGUUUUGACGUUACCAACAGAAUAAGCACCGGCUAACUUCGUG